AAGGAUUGUGUGUUAUUAUCCUAUACAAAUUAGGCCUUUAAAUCCUUUUCCUUUGUUCCAUCCCUUGCUGCACAAAUCAUUCACCACCCUCUACCAUAUUUUCACUACACCAUUCACCAAUCAUCCCUCAUUGUGCCGUGAGUUUGCAAGGAGAAGAAGGAAGACAACUUGGAGCCGUGCAUGCCAUUCAAGACGUUGGAUUGUCGGAGCGUUUCUAGGUGUUUUCUAUCUUUGUUUCAAUGUUUAAAUUUAUUUAUCUUUGUUUGUUUGCGAACAUGAGGAACUAAUUUCUUUAUAGUUAGAGGGGAAUUCAAAGCCAUGAUCAU
rnacentral:lncRNA from 1 species